rnacentral:rRNA from 1 species
AAUUGGAGGGCAAGUCUGGUGCCAGCAGCCGCGGUAAUUCCAGCUCCAAUAGCGUAUAUUAAAGUUGUUGCAGUUAAAAAGCUCGUAGUUGAAUUUCGGGAUUGACGUAACGGUCGUGCCUUAAGGGGUAUGAGAACUGUCACUGUCAAUUUCUCACCUUCUGGAAAAAUAUGAUGUCCUUAAUUGGGUGUCAUAUGGAUCCAGGACUUUUACCUUGAAAAAAUUAGAGUGUUUAAAGCAAGCUUAUUGCUCGAAUACAUUAGCAUGGAAUAAUAAAAUAGGACGGCUUGGUUCUAUUUUGUUGGUUUCUAGGAUCACCGUAAUGAUUAAUAGGGAUAGUUGGGGGCAUUAGUAUUCAAUUGUCAGAGGUGAAAUUCUUGGAUUUAUUGAAGACUAACUACUGCGAAAGCAUUUGCCAAGGAUGUUUUCAUUAAUCAAGAACGAAAGUUAGGGGAUCGAAGACGAUCAGAUACCGUCGUAGUCUUAACCAUAAACUAUGCCGACUAGGAUUCAGACGAUGUUAAUUUUUUAAUGACUCGUUUGGCACCUUACGGGAAACCAAAGUGU